rnacentral:rRNA from 1 species
GACGAACGCUGGCGGCGUGCUUAACACAUGCAAGUCGAACGGAAAGGCCCUGCUUUUGUGGGGUGCUCGAGUGGCGAACGGGUGAGUAACACGUGAGUAACCUGCCCUUGACUUUGGGAUAACUUCAGGAAACUGGGGCUAAUACCAGAUAGGAUCUCCUGCUGCAUGGUGGGGGUUGGAAAUUUUCGGCGGUUGGGGAUGGACUCGCGGCUUAUCAGCUUGUUGGUGGGGUAGUGGCUUACCAAGGCUUGGACGGGUAGCCGGCCUGAGAGGGUGACCGGCCACAUUGGGACUGCGAUACGGCCCAGACUCCUACGGGAGGCAGCAGUGGGGAAUAUUGCACAAUGGGCGGAAGCCUGAUGCAGCAACGCCGCGUGCGGGAUGACGGCCUUCGGGUUGUAAACCGCUUUCGCCUGUGACGAAGCGUGAGUGACGGUAAUGGGUAAAGAAGCACCGGCUAACUACGUG